UACGGAGGCCCCAAGCGUUGUUCGGAUUUAUUGGGCGUAAAGGGUGCGUAGGCGGCGUGGUAAGUCUGGUGUGAAAGGCGUGGGCUCAACCCGCGGACUGCAUUGGAUACUGCCAUGCUAGAGGACUGGAGAGGAGAAUGGAAUUCACGGUGGAGCAGUGAAAAUGCGUAGAGAUCGGGAGGAACACCUGUGGCGAAGGCGGCCCCCUGGCCGGCCCUGACACUGAGACGCGAAGGCGUGGGGGAGCGAACGGGG
rnacentral:rRNA from 1 species